UAUAUACUUAGCUGCAAAGCUGCAAAGCCUUUCUGUUUUAAAAUUGUAAGUGAAGUCAUAGUGGCACUGAGGAACUACUGAAAGAGAAGAAGAAAAAAUCAUCUUCAUAAGCAAACAAAGAAGUAAAAAUGAUGACAACUUUACAAUGAAGAAGAAGGUAAUGCCCUCUACAUCAUCUCUGCUGUCAACAGUAAUGACUGAGCUACCACCUGGAAAGGAGAGAAUGCAAAGUUCCCUCCUUACUCUGCAUGAGGAGGCUUUAUUACCAGUCACCCCAGAAAACAUCCUAAUGCCCCAAAAUUUGGUAAGGAAAUGGUGACAGGAAAAAGAUCUGUGGCAGUGUCAUUGUGUACAAUACAGUUCAGCUGUUCAGGAGUCGUAUCAGUCAAGCUUUGACUGAAUAAAUGAACAAUAACACUCUUUACCUGGAGUAGUUUACUACUAGUUUCACAAUACCUGGUAUAUUUGGAGGACCAAUGUAAAAGGGAACUCAGCUGCAACUAUUCAUGAGCCUUUAUGGUGACCAACACGGCAAUUGAGUCAUGCCCCUGCAAAAGGGUUGAGUUCAUUAGCUACAUGUCUUCUUCAUCUCAAUGUACCCAUUACACAAAUUUUAGAAGGGGUAAAGUCAUACUAGCUUUCAUUUGCAGUGCCAGUUUACUCAAUCUGACAUACAAU